UGGGCGUAAGGGCUCGCAGGCGGUUUCUUAAGUCUGAUGUGAAAGCCCCCGGCUCAACCGGGGAGGGUCAUUGGAAACUGGGGAACUUGAGUGCAGAAGAGGAGAGUGGAAUUCCACGUGUAGCGGUGAAAUGCGUAGAGAUGUGGAGGAACACCAGUGGCGAAGGCGACUCUCUGGUCUGUAACUGACGCUGAGGAGCGAAAGCGUGGGGAGCGAACAGGAUUAGAUACCCUGGUAGUCCACGCCGUAAACGAUGAGUGCUAAGUGUUAGGGGGUUUCCGCCCCUUAGUGCUGCAGCUAACGCAUUAAGCACUCCGCCUGGGGAGUACGGUCGCAAGACUGAAACUCAAAGGAAUUGACGGGGGCCCGCACAAGCGGUGGAGCAUGUGGUUUAAUUCGAAGCAACGCGAAGAACCUUACCAGGUCUUGACAUCCUCUGACAAUCCUAGAGAUAGGACGUCCCCUUCGGGGGCAGAGUGACAGGUGGUGCAUGGUUGUC
rnacentral:rRNA from 1 species